rnacentral:lncRNA from 1 species
CUUCAAAUCAACACUUAUAUACACAUAUCCCAGUAAUAACUUGUAUUUAUAUAGUAUAGCCCUUUAUAAUUUAGAAAGAACUUUCAUCAAAAUUGUUUUAUUAGAACAUUGUGCAUGAUGUCCAGUAGUUAUUUGUGCCCCCAAUUUACUGAUGCUCAAAAUACGAUGUUUAGGAUAAGCAAAGUCAAGUUCCUUUCAGAGAAUAUGAUUUAAUUCCUACUGCUUUUUACCCAAGUUUAUUCUUCAAUGGAGACAUCCUUGGUUCCCAACACUAAACCCAUGGAAUGUCUUUUCCCUUCAGGAGUGGAGCUUUCCAACAGUUUGUGGGGGCGUUUAUAUUAUGUAAUAUGGCUUGUUCUUGGGGCUGGAGAUCCAGUAGAAAACAAGACUUCCAUGGACCCUGCCCUCACAAAGUUUGUGUCUAUGAGUGUGUUUUUGAGAGGAGGUAUCUGUAGGGCAGAGGAGAUGGGAAUAAUAGAAAUAUAAAGAAAUAAUUAGAAUUGUGAUCAUUAUACAGCAGACUUGUAUAAGGUACACGUAAUUUUUGUCCUGACUUAGGUGGAUAGCAAAGUGAACUUUUUGUUUGACAUUGUUGCUAUGAUAGGUGAAUUUACCUCAUAGUGUUGUAAUUAAUAUGUGGUUUGUCUUUUGUGAUUGUGGACAGACAUUAUUUGUUUUGAUGCGAGUUGGAUUAAAGUGAUUGUUAAGCUGAGUAUGCCAUGCUUUGGGGAAAAGCCUUGAAGAAGAGGGAACACCUUAAGGCAGGAAGGAGAAUAGAACAUUGAAGGAUCUGAAAAAAGCUGGGAGAGCCUGGAAUAUAAAUAGCAAAAUUAUGUUGAAAUAAAGCCAGAGAGUGAGUUGGGGCAAGAUUCUGCAGGGCUUGUCGGUCAAAGGGAAGAUUUUGGAAGUUAUCCCCAGAGCAGCAGAAGCUUCAGAGAGACGUGGUGAUAUUGAAGUGCUCUGCCUGGUUCAGAGUAGGGCGUAAGAACAGAGGGCAGUCAAAAGACUAUUGAUAGAGUUGAGGUGGGAAAUGAGGCACCUCAGACUGGGAUGUUGAUAGUAGAGAUGGAGAGAACAGAACAGAUUUGAGCAGCAUUUAGGAAAUAGAAUUCACAGGUCUUGACAAUUGAUUGGUGGUGUGGAGAUGUCAAGAAUAUCUAUCUCCCAAGCUUUGACUUGAGGCUUGGGGUAAAGACUAUGUGGAACUUAAAAUAACUAUUGAAUCAAAGGGUCUUGAAAAUUAUUUUGGUUCGUUCUUCAUUGGUGCAAACAGAAAAAGAAAAAAUGACUGCUCCCUUGCAGGAAUUAAAGCCAUAAUGACACACCAAACAUUUGCUUUAACUAAAGAAGGGUACAGUUGUACAGAGCUGGAGUGAAUGUGAUACACUAUUGAUAAUAAAACUAAGGUCCUGCCCUCUAUAAAAGUUAAACUAAUUAUUAUACACUUGCAUGUUCACUCAGGUUAUUUAUUAUUUUCCAUUUAAAACCAUUAUUUUUAUUGCAAAAGAGGCAUAAUUUUACUCUCAACCUAUAAACCUUACUAUAACUUAUCUGUAUCUUCUAAGCACAGAGCCAUUUUGUUCCUUUAAUAAGUGUAGUAAUUUACAUUGGUUAAUGGUAUAACUAUGAUAAUUAGCAUAAUGUAGUUGUAUUCUUAACCACAGCCUUAUUACAACAAUUUUAAAUCUUGUUAUAUUUUCCUGGUGGAGCAGAGCUUAUGAUUAUCCAUAAUUUUUUUUUUUUUUUUUUACUAGGUAUAAAAAAACUUUUGCUUCCUUUAUGUUACUUCUGGCUGAAUCCAGUCAGCAAAACUUUACAUGUAGUUUGGAGAUUUUAAUCACUAGUGGGUGAAAUUGGAUACCUUGUGCUCUUUUUUCUUGGUUCCAGAUUUAUUUGGGUUUUCUUCCUAAAUCUUUUACUUCCAGGCCAGUACAUACGGUUUUUCAUGACCCAAAGGAAGUUUAGUCAUUUUUCAACUACAUCAUCAUAGAUAGAUGCAGAGGAGGGUUUUAAUGUUAAUGAUUAAGUUUCUGAAUAAAAACUAAAAUGAACUCUGUUAUCUGGAAUGAUUGUAAAAUAAAAUACUUUGUUUAACCAAAUAUUCAUAUAUAUGUGUUCCUUAUAUAAUUUAUAGAUGAUUAGUUUUCUAAUAAUCAGAGCCAAAUUAACUUUUCCUAAAACUAAAACCAAGUAAUUGUAUUUUGGCCUUUGAAGAAUCAGAAAGUGUCUCCGGAUUUUCCCAGGCCCAACUGGGGUGUGUGGGUGGGACCUUGCCAUCAUUCCAGGCUUCAUUAUGCUCAGUCUAGAAAGUUCCACAAGUUCCCAGUAAUAGAACAUUUUGAGUGUUCGGAAAAGAUAGCUUUGUUCAAUAUGUCAGGCCUUCAUUCUCUCUUUCCAAGAUAUGGCUAACUUCUCAACUUUUUUAUUAAAGGAUUUUCUAAAGGCGGGAAAUAAGAUAUUGAGGCUAGUAAGGCCAGGUCUAGGAGGUGAAAGAGAUAGUUAAAAUUAUUAAACUGCAAAGUUUUGAUUUUUUAUUUUAUUUAGAGGCCUAGUAAUCUGGAUCCUAACUCGCCAGAACCAUUAAUUCUGUGGAUGUGUUUUCAGCACUGGCCUUCCCCACUUUAGUGCUGAGGUGGUUCAUGUUCAACUCAGUCUUGUCAUCUUCCUGCCGCCCUGGGUCACCGAUGAGCAGGAGAGCUUUCCAGGUUGAAAUUAUGAAAAAAAUAUUAAAUUAUGUUCAAUUUACUAUACCCAUGUUAACCAGAAAACUUAUUAAUCAAAUACUUUGAAUAUUGCCAAUUUUGACAGAGUUAUUUGAUUUGGAGAAUUUGGUAAAAGAAACAAACGCAAGAGCAAAACACAUUUGUUUCAGCAACCUGUGAAAUUCAGAAGAAUAUGAUACUUUUUCCUGGUUAAUUAUCCAGAGGCAAAUUUUGUUCCUAUUCUCUUUGACUCAUGAAACUCGACCUAACAUGGAACAAUAGUGAAGGACAAGAGUUAACAUAGAUCAAAUAAUUGCAUCCAUUUUCCUCAUUGUUUAUCUCCCCGAAUUUGCUUAAUGAGUGGUCAAUACAAAUACUGAACAGCAAGAAAUGAGGCCAUGUAUGUGAAACACCUUUAUGAAGUGUAAAGUGCUCACAGAUAUAUGAUAAUGAGAACAAUGAUGACAGUGGGUCUUUUGAACAAGGCUGAUAGUUGCGUAUUCCCAAAGCACCAACUGGUACCAGGCAAGCAACUUCCUGGAGGACACUUUCUAGUACUUUAGCUUCUGCAUUAAUUUGAAUCUGCUCAUCUGCUCUGCUGAGAUCUUGCAGAUUGUUUGGCCCAUUUCACUCUCUAAUGACAGGCCUGGUGCGUUUUGAUGGAGAACUUGCCAAACAUGUCAAAUUUCAGACCAACAGGUAGCCAGCCAUCCCUGUCUCUGUGACAUCCUUUCUACAUGUUGAUUUCAAUUGUUUUGCCUCCUGCUACAAGGCCCAAGCCUGAUUUCUUUCAGCAAGCCAAUCUUCACUAUUCUGACUUGAAAGCCUUAGUAGCUGGUAAUAUUUGAGCUCUUAUUUUGACAACAAAUUUAUUAUCAGUGUUGUGACAUCUCUCCUUUUGCCUUCUGGCAUCCUCACUUGGACCCAGGUAUUUUCAGGUAAAUUUCAUGUGUGUGUGCCUUAUAUUCCCUUUCAUAAUAUAAAACUAUAAUAUCUAGAAUAGUAUGGUUUUGAGGUCCAAAACUAUAACCUUAUAUCUCUUUAGAUGCUUCAGAGUGCUCAGGAUCCAUGAAAAUAUAUAGUCAAAUUUUGUUGAUUUGAUCACCAAAGAGAUAGUCAUAAAACUUCCUGUGCUUAGAAAAUAUAUUUGAUUUUUUUUUUUUUUUUUUACAAAAGAAGUUUGCUUUCAUUGAAAAGGGCUGUGUGUGGUAUGGGCAGAGGAAAGAUACAAAAGCAUUUUUUCUACAGUUCUCUCAGUGGUGGAUUUCCAGUUAGAUCAAAGAUGCUUAAUGUGGAUGGGCUUCAUAGGGUCCUUAAACUCCCUGAAAUUAUAUGAAUAACAUUGUAUGUUUGGGGACUUCUUUCCCCCCUGUGGGAAAAGAGUCCAUAAUUUUGAUCAGAUUCUCAAAGGUUGUAGUGAUUCAUGGGUAGUUGAUGGUUAUUGAGUUUGAAAGUACCAGCAGAGCUGGAUUUACUACCAAGGGUAUGUAGUAUUGCUAAAAUACUCAGUAACAAAGCUGGGGUUAAGGCUCUUUUGUCUGAUGCUGAUAGUCAUACCAAAGAUAGUUGCUCUCCAUGUUGCUUUUCACUCUUGCCUUACUUUACCGUGCACUUUAAUACAUAUAUAAAAAUACUCAAUACAUAGAAAUCCAAAUUUAUAAAGUGGGUGAUGUUCACUUUAUGAAAUGAUUAAGUAACAUUUUAUUAAAUGAGCUCUCCUAAACAUUUAAAAGUACGUCAUUUAUAUGUGACUUUUCAGAAACACAUGUUCUUUGCUCUGGACAAAGUACACUAGGAAUUCUGUACUUUGCAAAGGAAUAAACAAGCCUGUAAAUGUGCUGCAUCUUUCCAUGGGACAGACAUGAUUUUAAAAUGUGAGUCUCACAGAAGUAAAAGCAUUUCUUGAUUUGUUUGCUUUUGUUUUUUGAUUCUGUAUAAGACCUCACAUCAGAAAGGACACUGGACUCACAAUUGGUGGCUGAAUAAAAUCUGUUUGUGGAUUGAAUAGCUCUGUUUGUGUGUUAGUUGCGUGGAUGAUUCUUCUAAUUCCCCAGCUUCCAGGUUCCUUGACUUCCUCUCUCGCAGUGGUCUUGUUUUCCACCCUACCUCAUCCAUGAUCACAUUCUAAACCAGUGGUUCUCAAAGUUUGGUCCCCAGACCAGUAGACUCAGCGUCCCCUGGGACUUAUUAAAAAUCCAAAUUUUGGGGCUCAGCCACCCUGUUCUCCCUCAGCCUAUGUCCAAUCCAUUAACAGACCUGUCAACCCUACCUCCAGUUUACAUCCUGAAUUUGACUACUUCUCACCACGUUACUUCUACCUGCUGGUCCAAGCUACCCUCACUUCUUGUCUGGGUUGUUGUGAGAGCUUCCUAAUAUGCUUCUUCGCUUCUGCUCUUUUCUCUGCCCUCUUACAUGCUAUUCUCUACCCAACAGCCAGGAUAGUCCUAUUAAAAAGUAAAUUGCAUCAUGUUACUUCUUUGCUCAAAGCCCUCCGAGAACUUCCAAUUUUAUCCGAGUAAAAUCACAUUCCUUAUUGUGGCCACGUGGCCCUACAAGAACUUGCUGCCUGCAAGUCCCUUCUCUACCUUUCUGAUCUCACCGUCUCCUGCUCUUCCUCCUUGCCCACCCUGCUCCAGCCACACCAGUGCCUUAUCAGUAACUAAAUCCAAUCCUGCUCCGGGAUUUUGUUUCUGUUAUUCCCUGUUCUUUGAACAUUCUUUUGAAGAGAUACCCACAUCGUCUUGCUCCUGCCCUUAUUUAAGACCCCUUCCUUCCCAACUACCCUGUUUAAAAGAGCAAUAUCCCAUAUAGACUUGCUCUCUCUUUUACCGCAGCUUUAUUGUUCUCCGUGUCACUUAUCCCCAGCUGACAUAUUACUUAAGCUGAACCAUAUGAAAUUGUAGAUGAUCCCCAUUUCUGUCCUAUAAAAACUGCCAGUGUAUGGAGCUUAGGCUAAUUCAUAUUUCUUGUUUAUUUGUAAGCUCUGUGAUAGAAGAGACUUUUCUGUUGUGUUCACUCUUGUGUCCCCACUUCGUAGAAUAGUUCUUGGUCUGUAAUAAAUACUCAAUAAAUAUCUAUAGAAUAAAAUAAAUGAAUGAGUCAGCAAUACUUCAAGGUAGCUACAGUGUGCUAUUCACAUUUCAAUCCCUGUAUCUGUUUUCUCUCUCUGUGUAAAAAUGAGUCACCCUCCAUUUCAACCUGUAACUAAAUUCGUAUGCUGUUGGGAUGAUUCAAGGGGAACAGAGUAACUGUUUGAAAGAGGUCUGUUUCAUAAAUUCAGAUCUAAUCUAUUAAUCUAAUAUAAAUAUUUGCAAAUAUGUAUGUAUUUUAUACAAUGCUUAUUUCACUAAUUAUGAUUUAUCUUUACUAAGACCACUAGUAUAAAUGCUGAUUUUUAUGUCCUGAGCACAAUCUCAAAGUGGAUGAGAGGCAUGCUAGAAGGGCAAAACCAGGGUGGGAUGAAGCUCUUGCCUCAAAUAAUUGACAAAGUGAUAUUUCUCUCUGAAUAGAUAUUGACUAAAUCUGAAAGGAAAGGUGUGGGGAUCAUGAAAAGCAUGAGUAUCCGCCGGACUGGGCUGGGCGAAUGCCUUCUUUCAAUUUUGCGCUAAGAAUAUGCUUUGAAAACAGGCUGGUUGGAAAGAAUUUGAAAUGCUUUAGCAAUGAAGUUCAGCCAUAAAACUUAAGUCUGAAGCUAUGCCUGGGGACACAUUCUCGUCGGUCAUAAUUUUAGGAUGGUAUAUAAAGAUGUGAUUAGGAACAUUCAAAUGUAAUCUGAGGAAAAAUAGUCACAAAUCAUUUUUUUAAACCACUAAAAUUGCGACAUCUUGUAAGGUAGUUAAAAUUGCUACAUCCAUUCUUUGAACAAGUUGACGGAGGCAAAGGAGGAAGCACAGAACACAUUGGGCAAAAGAUCCGGGAUGAGAGCCCAAAAGUCCCAUCUUCCUGUCUCCUACUUUUGUAUUCACAAUAUUGCAAUCUGUUACCUAGAGGAUGAUUAGUGUGUAUAACUGAGCGCUUUAAUUUUACUGCAGGAAAAAGUAAUGUAAGAAAGAGCAUAGGCUGCGAUGGAGACAAACUUUGUCUAAACAAAGGUAUCUUUGGUUAAUUAGUAAAAUGGCAAAGACAUUUAUGAAAAACAAGAGACACAUAAAUCUCUUUCAUAAGUGUUAAAUAUUCCAAUAUUCACUCAUAUGAAAAUCUUUUAAUGUAAUUCUCAUAUAUUUGUAGAAAUGAUUAGCACUGUGUUUGAAACAUAAUUUCUUUUUGCUACUGAGCUGACCUUACUUCUUAUCAUCAUAUCUUUGAAUACUGUGUUACUUAUCUGACCUAGAACAUUUCACAUAAAAGAAAAGCCAAGUUAGCAAAAGAAUAGUUCAGCUCAUAAAAAGAUGUGAUAUCUGUGAAAACAGAUAUGAUUAAAACAGUGUGUGCUGUUUAAAUGAAUUAGGAGUCAUCACGGACAGCUCAAGGAAGAAGUCUCCCCAUCACACAGAGGCAGUUAGGAAGGCAAAUAGGACUCCAGGGUGCAUUAAAAAGGGAGAAAAUAAUAUGGAAAUAUUAAGUUGAUGUUAUAUCAAAUAAUGAUACACUUUCAUCUAGAAUACCGAGUCUAAUUUCAGUCAACGCACCUUAAGACAUGUCAAGCAGAGACUGAAAAUAUCCAGAGGAAUGGAGAAAAUGAGUAAAGUGGGGGUGAAUUCAGAUAAAGAUCAUUUAUUUCUAAAAGGUAGGUUUUUUGAAGUGGGAAGUCACUUGUUUUCUCAAACAGCACAAUAAAGGACAUUUUGGUAAUUGAGCGAUUGAUGCUUAUAAUAAAAUAAGUAGCAACAAUAAAUAAACCUAAACAAUAAAUAAAAGUAGAGAAUAUUGUCUGAGAAGUGGAACGAUACUUAAAAUCAGUAGUCUUGGAUUAGAAAAGGGUUGCUGAUUAAAAAGAACUGAAUAAGGGCAUCAGUGUUGGAAACAGAACCUCUGUGUCAGCGGCCUUAUUCUUUACCAAGUUUUCUAUUUGCCUGUGUCCUCAACCAACAUAUAGCACAGUUAUAGGUUUGUACCCUUCUAUGGUGACACAAAAGUGUAAAAUAAGGUCCCUUGUCUUUUUUUACUAAUUAACAAAACAAAUUACUUGUGUGUUUUCUCAGCAUAAAAGAACAUACUUAUAGAAUAUUAGUAAAUUUGGGAAAAUUAGAAAGAGGAAAAGAUUUCUUACUGUUCCCAACCAAAACUGAUUACUGUUAGCAUUUUGAUUAUUUUCUUCCAACAUUUAUCUAUAUGUAAUGCUUGGUGGCUUUAUUUUACAUAGUUGUAAUCACACCAUGGAAACAAUUGUUUUCUGUUUCUUUUCAUUUUAGCAAAAACAUAUUUCUGUGUUACUAUAAGCUCUCAGUGAUAAUUUUGAUACAAUAAUAUUGCAUCAAUAGAUGUACCACAAUUUGUGCAAUCAUUUCUGUGAAAGUGAUGAUCCUGAUAUUGACAAUUUUGUACUCUGUCUGAGGUAAACUUAUUAAGUGGCACUGGCCCCAUGGCCGAGUAGUUAAGUUUGAGCACUCUGCUUCGGCUGCCCAGGGUUUCGCUGGUUUGGAUCCUAGGCGUGGACAUGGCACUGCUCAUCAGGCCACUCUGAGGCACGUCCCACGUGCCACAAAUAGAAGGACCCACAACUGAAAUACACAACUAUGUACUGGGGGGAUUUGGGGAGAAAAAGCAGGAAAAAAGAAAAAAGAAGAUUAGCAACAAGUUGUUGGCUCAGGUGCCAAUCUUUAAAAAGAAAAAUCAAGUGAUUAAUGAAUAGGAAGUUUUUGAUAAAAUGAUGAACUUAAUGACCCUGCUUGUAAGAAGGAAUGGCUCCAACUAGCUAUUUUUUCCAUCUGUGUUUAUUUCCAGUUACAUAUAUUCACCUCUCUUUAGCCUUUCCCCUCUAGAGUAUAAACAUCUGUUUGGUUUGCUUGGUAUCUCCAUUAGCCCAGUUCCCUAUGCAACUGGGAACCUAGUCAGUAGUUUCUGAUAGCAUACUGAUCAUGGCCGAGUCUAGAGACAAACAGCUGAAGGACAGAGAAAUUAUCCCAAAGGAAUUCUAGGUUUGGAGAACAUAGAUUAUAAGAAAGCCGUUCUUAGUACAAAGGAUACUUGGUGCCUAUCACCUAGAACCAGG